AGAACUGGACACCUCGGGGGUUUCCUGCUUUAUGGCGAAGGGCCAGGGCCCCACACACCUCCCGCCUGACAGCCAGCCAAGCUCUUCAGUCCCCCGCCCUCCACCUGCCAGGGAGGCUCCGGGCGUUAUACCUGCCACCACGGGGUAGGUCUGACACAUAUACUCAUAGAAAUGAGUUAUUUAAAGAAGACGGUCCAGAUUCCACAGUCCAAAAAAAAAAAGAGGUUUGCCCUGCUUCCGAAGGAGUCAGGAUAUGAAUGCAGAGGUCUUCCUGUUGGCUCACAUAUCAGACCUUCAACGUCAACAUUAAAUGCGAGUGAUGCUUCCCCCUCUGUGAAUGUGGCUUUGGGUAUGGCUAAUCCACACCCUGCACUCUGGCCUUCAGAAGCCCAGGGAGAGAAGCCUCCCAGAAGCAACCUUCCAGAACCUUCUCCAUCCUCCCACCGACCUCCCCAGCCCCUGUCCUCUCUUUGAAUCUCGUUGUCAAGUUCUUUCCGCAGACGCCUGGCUCCUUGAGGGGAGGUGCAGCUUUCAUCUGACCAUGCAGGCGUGCUUUGCAGUGGGUAGAGCAGUGC
rnacentral:antisense_RNA from 1 species